rnacentral:rRNA from 1 species
UGCCAGCCGCCGCGGUAAUACGGAGGGUGCAAGCGUUAAUCGGAAUUACUGGGCGUAAAGCGCGCGUAGGUGGCCAAGUCAGUCGGAUGUGAAAUCCCUGGGCUUAACCUGGGAACUGCAUUCGAUACUGCAUAACUAGAGUAUGGUAGAGGGAAGUGGAAUUUCCGGUGUAGCGGUGAAAUGCGUAGAUAUCGGAAGGAACACCAGUGGCGAAGGCGGCCACCUGGACGGUGACUGACGCUGAGAUGCGAAAGCGUGGGGAGCGAACAGGAUUAGAUA